GACGAACCUUGCUAACGUUAUUCGGAAUUACUGGGCUUAAAGGGUGCGUAGGCGGUGCAGCAAGUCGGGUGUGAAAUCUCUGGGCUUAACCCAGAGGCUGCUUCCGAAACUGCUGUGCUUGAGUGUGGGAGAGGCGCGUGGAAUUGCAGGUGUAGCGGUGAAAUGCGUAGAUAUCGUAAGGAAGACCAGUGGCGAAGGCGGGUCUCUGGACAGUUCCUGACGCUGAGGCACGAAGGCCAGGGGAGCAAACGGG
rnacentral:rRNA from 1 species